UUGAUCUGGGCUUCUUCCUUAAUUGUCUCCCUCACUCCUAUCCUUUCUCACUGGGAGAGGGGAAGCAGUUUGUCUUAUUUACCAGGUUCCUAAAAAGUUAUCAUUACAUUGAGGCAGCUUGUGAGGCAAGACUAAUGAUAAUACGAAUAUGACUGUUUAUAUACCACCCUGUUCCCAAGGUACUCCAGAUGGUUGAUGGACUACGACAUCCUUAUAAAGUAGGUAAGGGAGAGGUAACUGGUAUUCUCCCGUCUCACAGAACUAGAGGAAGAAUGACUUGCCAGGAUAGUCUUGUCCCUCACUGAGGGCAGGUUCCUGACUCCUCAUUGGAUGCUGCCUACUAUUAAUAGAAUUGAACUUCAGUUAUUACCAUUUCACUUACAUAUAAGGGACAAUUGCUGAUUUAUACAAGGUAAUAUUACUUAUCUGAUUUUAACAUGUUUUAACAGUAGGAGAUUAGCUAAGGACCUUAUUUGUACAUCUGCUUUUGAAAUAGAAAUCUCCUGGUUACACUGCAGGUGGUUUUUACAUUUCUACAGGCAUUGAGGCAUCAGGAGUAACUUGUCCAGAGUCAUUCAUUUGUCAAAAAAGUGUGUGAAGGGAACCUUCUCUGCACACUCCAAACCUGACCUCUUUAUCUGUGGUAUUCUAGAAUCUCGGAUGCUUGUGGCCUUCUUUUAUAGAAGAUGUGCUGGGGGCCUGUCUUUAUUUCAAGUUUCUCUGGGAUAGGGGGGUAGUUGUCAACAAUAUUACCAAAGGAUGCAAGAUGGUGGCCAUGGGGCUUAUGUAACAUACUGUAUUAACAGUUAACUGAGUUGGGAGACAAAUAUCCUAGUUCUCCUGGAGAAUUGGGAGAUGGGUAGCCCCAGUCUCAGCUGUGAAAUAAGCCUGUCUCCAGUCCACCCAGCCCCCUGAGAAGGAAGGAGUUUUGGAUUCCUGGGAUUGAUGAGUUAUUUGCCCGUGGGUGUUGAAAGGAAGAGAGGAGGGAACCAGAAUGCAGGUAUUUCUUUUCUUGGGUGAUUCCUCCUUGAAGUCUGCCUGUGCAUUUUGGACUUACUUCUUGUUAUACUCUGCCUUUGAGACUGAUGGGUCUAAAAUUCAAAGCUCUCACACACACACUGGGGUGAUACAGAGAUCCUUGAGGUAAUUGAGGUGAAGGGGGAGGAAUUCUGUAGGUGACCAAAUCGAUUACAAACAACACUGGGCACUUGGAUUUCCACUCAAGAGUGCUGUCCUCUCAAAGUUGAAAGUGCACAGGAGUCCCCAUGGGAGUGUGGAGCGGGGAUUUUCAAUGCAGAGUCCUUGUUAACAUUCAGAGAUAGAGUGUGUGGGCCUGGGGCGGGGCCUGGAUAUAGUCUUGUCACACUUUGAGAAAUUGUGAUCCAGCUCUCUCUACCCUCAUCCUUAUUCCACCCUACCUUUAUUUAAAGCAUGUAUUACCAAAUUCUAUUCCUACUGCCUUUGUCUAUUAAUAUGGUCAUCCACGUGAUAUCUAUGUGACAUAAAACGCAUCAAAAACGUGACAGUGAUUUUUCUUCUAGAUACUGGAUAGUACACAGAAAAUGAGACAGACCAAAAUCCCUGGUUUGAUAUUUGUAAAAGUAAUAGAAAUUACAGUCAUGGAUAAUAUCAAGCUUCAUAAUCACAUAUUUAAUAACUUUUAUGCCUGCCCAAAAGUGGGGCAGAUUACUUUUAUUGGUGACUAUAGGUUGUCUCUUGGCUUAGAACUUUUUAUUAAGAUUAGAGGGACUAUUACUUCAAAACGAAAUCCCUAAUACAAAUAUAUGGUAUUUUGCAUGAUAGAAGUAAAGAGAGUCUCAUUUGAAACUUUUAACCGCCCUGUGACAUAGGCAGAGUGAAAAAACCCAUUUUAUAGGUUAGAAAUCAAGCCUCAGCACAGUUAAAGGACUUUCUAAAGCUCACAUAGCCAAAUACAGGGUCCUACAUUCAGCAACCAAAAACUUCCAUGACGUGUAAUUACGCCAUUUGUUUCAGUUAUGAUUUUAUUUGGGCUGCUAACAUCCACUAAUGUCUACUAUAAAAACUGAGUAAUUGACCUUGAUAAAUUUGUUUUGACCUUGAACAUUAUCUGUUUUUUUAUUAUACUUUUAAGUUCUAUCUAUCUCUUCAACUACAAAAUCUUAAUAAAUUCCUACAUCAUUUAAUCCAAA